rnacentral:lncRNA from 1 species
GGCAUCAUGGUCAUUUCACAAUGAACGAGAGAUCAAAAGGCAAAACAGACAUCACUUUUGAACUCAGGACGGUCGAAAACCUUAAGAGGAGCAUAAAAGGAAAAAUGACAUUGUUCACAUGUACGUUACUGUUUACGACACUGUUCACAUAGACGGAUCGAUGACGUGGCAUUGACCGAUGAUGUGGCAUUGACUGAUGAGGUGUCACGAUCCUAUUGGACUAAAAUUCUUAUCUACUGUUUAUCAGUGACGUGGCAGCAUGUUAGUGGACCAAAAAUCGCGUGUACGGUAUAUGCAUAUACACAUGAUUAUUUUCAAUCAAACCGCGUCACUGUUCAAACCACGUCACUAUUCAAACCGCGUGGCCAAACCGUGUCACUGUUCAAACUGUGUGGUCAAACCGCGUACUGUUGACUAAUGACGUGGCGCAAUCCUGAGCGUCCAAACUGUUUUUAAUCCGAUGGCCAUGAUUUACUCAAUUUAUCUAUAAAAAUGGGUCUCUCCCCCCCUAAUUUGGCAUCUCUAAAUCCAUUUUUGGGUCCCAUUUUCUGUAAUUCCUUCUCCAUCUUGUAUUUUCUACGUAUUUUAAUAAAUUCCCAUUUUACCCUUAGUUCAAUUAUGAGUAGCUAAUUUUCUUUCAAGCUUGGGUUGAAGGUGAAGUCUCAACAUGUGUCAUGGGCUUUAUUUGGUAAAUUUAUUUUCUCUUCCCCUCUAAUUUUUGUGGAUGUUUUGACUUUUCGUCGACAAAUAAUAAUAAUCUUGUCUAGAUACCGCUCUGGUUUCACCGGCUCCCUAGUACAAGGUUAUUAUCAUUUGGCACGAUAAGCCCUUAGCACUAUAUUGAUUAGAGUGUGGUUCAUGAGUUAUGGAUUCCCCCCUUAUGAUUUAAUUGGCACUGAUAAUGAAUAUUUAGCUCAUGAUGCAUGUUGAUGUGGAUCCAAAUACCCAAGCGCUUCAAUUAUUAUAGUUUCCACUUUAAUUUAAUUCUGCCAUUUCAAUUUAAAUUUUAGGAUAUUCCAAAUCAUCUUUACCAUAAUUCCAACCAUCCAUUUAGAAAAAUUAAUUCUACACACAAUUAAAAUCCACCUCCUCGUGGGAUCGACACUCGUCACCAUUGAUCUAUUUUACAAUAGAUUCGCACACUUGCGAGUUCAAUAAAAUUUGCACAACAAGUUUUUGGCGCCGUUGCUGGGGAGGUAAGUUAUUUUAAUUUGUGGAAUUAAUUUUUGUAAAUAAUUGCUUUUAGUUAUUUUCUUGUAAUUUUUUUCUUAUUUUAAAAAAAAGUGAAUCU